rnacentral:tRNA from 1 species
GCCCUGGUAGCUCAGUUGGAUAGAGCGAGUGCCUCCUAAGCGCUAGGUCACAGGUUCGACUCCUGUCCAGGGCACCA